rnacentral:rRNA from 1 species
GUGAAGUGCGGGGAUGGUGUGGCGGUAAUAGGGAGGGUGGGGGAGUGGUCCGGAAUUACUGGGGGUAAAGGGCGUGUAGGCGGGGGUGCAAGUCAGGUGUGAAAGCCCAAUGCUUAACUUUGGGACGGCAUCUGAAACUGUAUUUCUUGAGUACUGGAGAGGGAAGCGGAAUUCCUGGUGUAGCGGUGAAAUGCGUAGAGAUCAGGAGGAACACCAGUGGCGAAGGCGGCUUCCUGGACAGAGACUGACGCUGAGGCGCGAAAGCGUGGGGAGCGAACAGGAUUAGAUACCCCAGUAGUC